rnacentral:rRNA from 1 species
CCUACGGGAGGCUGCAGUGGGGGAUAUUGCACAAUGGGGGGAACCCUGAUGCAGCGACGCCGCGUGUGGGAAGACGGUCCUCUGGAUUGUAAACCACUGUCCCCAGGGACGAAAAUGACGGUACCGGGGGAGGAAGCUCCGGCUAACUACGUGCCAGCAGCCGCGGUAAUACGUAGGGAGCGAGCGUUGUCCGGAAUUACUGGGUGUAAAGGGAGCGUAGGGGGGGGGGCAAGUUGGGUGUCAAAACUACCGGCUCAACUGGUAGUCGCACUUAAAACUGCUGCUCUUGAGUGAAGUAGAGGCAGGCGGACUUCCUAGUGUAGCGGUGAAAUGCGUAGAUAUUAGGAGGAACACCAGUGGCGACGGCAGCCUGCUGGGCUUUUCCUGACGCUGAGGCUCGAAAGUGUGGGGAGCAAACAGGAUUAGAUACCCCUGUAGUC